rnacentral:rRNA from 1 species
CCUACGGGAGACAGCAGUGAGGAAUAUUGGUCAAUGGGCGGGAGCCUGAACCAGCCAAGCCGCGUGAGGGAAGAAGGUACAGCGUAUCGUAAACCUCUUUUGCCAGGGAACAAAGGCGGGGACUAGUCCCCGGAUGAGGGUACCUGAAGAAAAAGCAUCGGCAAACUCCGGGCCAGCAGCCGCGGUAAUACGGAGGAUGCGAGCGUUAUCCGGAUUGAUGGGGUUAAAGGGGUGCGCAGGCGGCCUGUUAAGUCAGAGGUAAAAGCCCGGGGCGCAACCCCGGAGAGCAGUUGAAACUGGCGGGCUGGAGUUGGAGAGAAGUACGCGGAAUGCGCGGUGUAGCGGUGAAAUGCUUAGAUAUCGCGCAGAACCCCGGUUGCGAAGGCAGCGUACCGGCCCCACACUGACGCUGAGGCACGAAAGCGUGGGUAUCGAACAGGAUUAGAUACCCGGGUAGUC